rnacentral:rRNA from 1 species
AAAGACUUGACGGUACUUCACAACAACCUAGAGGAGCCUGUCCAAUAACCGAUACCCCACGAUUAACCCUACCUGCCCUAGCCAUAACAGUCUAUAUACCGCCGUCGCCAGCUUACCUUAUGAAAGAAACAAAGUGAGCCCAACAACAACACAUUAACACGACAGGUCGAGGUGUAACUAAUGAGCAGGCUAAAGAUGGGCUACAUUUUCCUAAACAGAAAAUACGAAUNCAACUAUGAAAUUAGAAACUGAAGGUGGAUUUAGCAGUAAGCUAACAAUAAAAUACUUAGCUAAAACUAUAGCAAUGAAGUGCGUACACACCGCCCGUCAUCCCUG